UGAGGAAUAUUGGUCAAUGGGCGAGAGCCUGAACCAGCCAAGUAGCGUGCAGGAUGACGGCCCUCUGGGUUGUAAACUGCUUUUAUGUGGGGAUAAAGUGCGUGACGUGUCAUGCAUUGCAGGUACCACAUGAAUAAGGACCGGCUAAUUCCGUGCCAGCAGCCGCGGUAAUACGGAAGGUCCGGGCGUUAUCCGGAUUUAUUGGGUUUACAGGGAGCGUAGGCUGUCUAUUAAGCGUGUUGUGAAAUUUACCGGCUCAACCGGUGGCUUGCAGCGCGAACUGGUCGACUUGAGUAUGCAGGAAGUAGGCGGAAUUCAUGGUGUAGCGGUGAAAUGCUUAGAUAUCAUGACGAACUCCGAUUGCGCAGGCAGCUUACUGUAGCAUAACUGACGCUGAUGCUCGAAAGUGCGGGUAUCAAACAGG
rnacentral:rRNA from 1 species